CAUGCAAGUCGAGCGAGGUAGCAAUACCUAGCGGCAGACGGGUGCGUAACAUGUGGGAAUCUGCCUUUUGGUUCGGAACAACACGGGGAAACCUGUGCUAAUACCGGAUAAGUCCUUACGGAGAAAGUUUUAAUGCCAAAAGAUGAGCCCGCACUUGAUUAGCUAGUUGGUAAGGUAAUGGUUACCAAGGCGAUAACCAAUAGCUGAUUUGAGAGGAUGAUCAGCCACACUGGGACUGAGAUACGGCCCAGACUCC
rnacentral:rRNA from 1 species